UACGGAGGAUGCGAGCGUUAUCCGGAUUUAUUGGGUUUAAAGGGUGCGUAGGCGGAUCGUUAAGUCAGUGGUCAAAUUGAGGGGCUCAACCCCUUCCCGCCAUUGAAACUGGCGAUCUUGAGUGGAAGAGAAGUAUGCGGAAUGCGUGGUGUAGCGGUGAAAUGCAUAGAUAUCACGCAGAACCCCGAUUGCGAAGGCAGCAUGCCGGCUUCCUACUGACGCUGAAGCACGAAAGCGUGGGGAUCGAAUAGG
rnacentral:rRNA from 1 species